rnacentral:rRNA from 1 species
UACGUAGGGGGCAAGCGUUGUCCGGAAUCAUUGGGCGUAAAGAGCGUGUAGGCGGCCCGGUAAGUCUGUUGUGAAAGUCCAGGGCUCAACCCUGGAAAGCCGAUGGAUACUGCCGGGCUAGAGUUCGGAAGAGGCGAGUGGAAGUUCCUGGUGUAGCGGUGGAAUGCGCAGAUAUCAGGAGGAACACCUAUAGCGAAGGCAGCUCGCUGGGACGACACUGACGCUGAGACGCGAAGCGUGGGAGCAAACAGG